AUACAAGGCAAGCACUCUUGCCACUAGGCCAUAUUCCCAGCCCAUCAGGCUUAUAGUCUUUUAAUUCUUACUGGAACUUUCCUUCCCUAGUCCCUGGAUGAGAUUAUUGCUCAAGUGGUAGGGCACUUGCCAAGCAAGCACAUGGCUGUUGAGUUCAACUUCUGGUACCACCA